UACGGAGGGUGCAAGCGUUAAUCGGAAUUACUGGGCGUAAAGCGUGCGUAGGUGGUUCGUUAAGUCCGUUGUGAAAGCCCCGAGCUCAACUUGGGAAUUGCAGUGGAUACUGGCGAGCUAGAGUGCGGUAGAGGAAGGUGGAAUUCCCGGUGUAGAGGUGAAAUUCGUAGAUAUCGGGAGGAACACCGGUGGCGAAGGCGGCGAUCUGGGUAGAUACUGACGCUGAGGUGCGAAAGCGUGGGGAGCAAACAGG
rnacentral:rRNA from 1 species